CAACAUCAAGACACAUUCCAAAGCUCCCUGAAAGUCAUUUACAGAAUAGUUGUGGUGUUUAUAUCUUCAUUUUUACCAAAGAACGUCCUGCCAGUGUUUUAAUCGUAAGGCAUUUGUGAGUGGUAAGUUAUUAUAUAUUUUUUUCUUGAAGAACAUGUUUUUUUUAAAGAAAAUUGUAUGAAAGAUAAAAAAUUAAUUAAAUAGAUGUAUAUUCUACUGUACAGAUAUCUUCAUUUCUAAAUUGCAGAGAAAUAAACAAUGCAACUGCAGAAGAAUGAUAUUUAUGCCAAAACUAUUUUAAUACUUUGAGCAUUCCUUUAAGGUUCUAUCUGCUGUCUUUAUUCUUAAAAUGUAAAAAAAAAUUCAUUUUAGUGAUCGUGGUUUGUUGUUUUACCUGUAUAGGGAUCAAUCUGAACAUGUUUCCUAAAAGGACAGUGUACCCACCAAAAAACUUUAGUUUAAUGAAGCAGUUUUGGUUUAUAGAUAAUUUCCUUGCUUUCUCAUUGCUCACGUCCAUGCUGUUUAUGCAGCCCAAGCCACAUCUCCACUGGCUGUGACUCAUACAUAAAAAUAUUUCAGCACUGUUACAGCAGAUUUUUUUAUUACAUGCUCUACAAUAGAAGUUUAAUAACACACAUGAGACUAUUGGAGGCUGCAGCAGCUUAUUAAUCCCUUAAAGGAACACUAUAGUCACCUAAAUUACUUUAGCUAAAUAAAGCAGUUUUAGUGUAUAGAUCAUUCCCCUGCAAUUCCACUGCUCAAUUCACUGUCAUUUAGGAGUUAAAUCACUUUGUUUCAGUUUAUGCAGCCCUAGCCACACCUCCCCUGGCUAUGAUUGACAGAGCCUGCAUGAAAAAAAAACUGGUUUCACUUUCAAACAGAUGUAAUUUACCUUAAAUAAUUGUAUCUCAAUCUCUAAAUUGAACUUUAAUCACAUACAGGAGGCUCUUGCAGGGUCUAGCAAGCUAUUAACAUAGCAGGGGAUAAGAAAAUCUUAAUUAAACAGAACUUGCAAUAAAGAAAGCCUAAAUAGGGCUCUCUUUACAGGAAGUGUUUAUGGAAGGCUGUGCAAGUCACAUGCAGGGAGGUGUGACUAGGGUUCAUAAACAAAGGGAUUUAACUCCUAAAUGGCAGAGGAUUGAGCAGUGAGGCUGCAGGGGCAUGUUCUAUACACCAAAACUGCUUUGUUAAGCUAAAGUUGUUCAGGUGACUAUAGUGUCCCUUUAAGGUUGUUAGUUUUUUUUUACUGUGUUAGAUAAGAUGGACUUAAAAGCAUGUAGGCGAGCAUAGAAUGCCCUGCAGAUUUGGUGUGCAGUGUUAAAUCCCUGCUCACACCAGGGAUCCCCAGGUACUAAUUGAUACUUUGAGUUCCACUCUGUUUGCUUGGGCCAAUUUUAGUGGCCUCAUACUAUAAAAUGGGCUAUUUGAAAUGCUGGAAGCCAGUGCUCCCAAUAUCCCUUUAAAUGUAGAGAGGGCAUUUCCAGUUGAGGAUUUACCAUAUGCCCUUCAUUGCAGAGCUGUAUUUGUGAGCAGUGUUUUUUUUUUGUUUUUUUUAAUGUAAGCAUGUUUUGUGUGUUUGAAUGUACAUAUCUGUGUGUAGUUGGCAUCUGAAUGUAGUUGCAUGCUUGUAUGCACUGUUGCCAUUUGGAAGUAAUGGUUUAAUGUUUAGUGUUUGUGUUUGAAUUUGUAUGUAUAGUUGGCAUGUGAUUGAUGGGAUGCAUGCACAUAUACACAUACACUGCCCCACACAUACACUCUGAAACACACACAGAUACACACACUGACACAUACACACAUAGAUACAAACAUACAUACUUACAGAUACACACAGAUACAUGCAUACACACUGACACACAGAUGCACACAUAUGCACACACAGAUGCACACAUUUAAACACAAACUCAGAUAACACAUAUACACAUGCACACAGAUAAAACAUACACACAUUUACACACAGAUAACACAUACACAUACAUAUAUCACACACACACAUAUACACACUUACAGACAUAGAUCCCAAUUUACAUAAUUUUAGCCACCCCUGCUUCCAUAUAUUUUAGUGCAGGAGGGGGGCAUUUCUGCGGUCUGGUGGCAUCUGGAGUCUGGAAGGAUUAUGGUCCAUGCUCUCCCUCCUCUCUAUUGUCCUCCUCUCUCGCUCUUUCAUGCUACUCUUUGAUAAGAUGGGAGGAAGUGCAAUGUACAGCACCAUGUUUUUUUGUUUGUUUUUUUAAAAUAUCUUUCUAUUUAUUCAGAUUUUCGUAAUUUAUACAAUACAUUCUAUCAUUUGCUUAUACAAUCACUUCAUUAACAAAUUACAUAAAAAUUUCACCAGUCAAAUAUAUGUUUCUGACAAUAAAGAAAGUUACAAAGCAUUAUGUAUGCUAUGUAUACUAUAUUUGUACCAAUAAUUCUGGUCUAGUUCUAGCAGUUAAAAAGGCAUUUCCCAUAAUCCUACGCUUCUUUUUUUUACAUAUUAUUGUGACAAUUAUUAGUUGCAAUAUUAAUUUUUGAAGUCUAUGCCUAUACGGCCUGUUUUCCUCUUAUAAUAGAAGUUUAGAACCUACUUUCUUAUCACUUGGAAUAUUUCCUUUACCUAUGUAACACCUCCCCAUUCCUACUCCCCCUCUGGCAUUAUAAACUAUGGGAUUGUUUAAUUAUGUACAAUCUGAGUUUAACUAUUUAGUAUCUUUGGCCAUUCUGACCAGAUGUUUUUGUGUACAUUAUUCUUUCCGAUUUUCCUAUAAAAACCUUCUUCCAUAUGACAUUGAUAAUUAAUUUGAUGGAUUAUUGCUAACCAUGUUGGUAAAAAUGGAUUCUUCCAGUUUCUUGCAAUAGCUAAUUUAGUAGCCAUAAAAAUAUGAAUUAAUAAUAUUUUAUGAUUUUGUCUGCCUAAUGGAAGAUCAAUCUGGAAUAGAAAGGUUUGAGGGGAUAAGGUUAAGAUCUGAGCGCAAAGCUUUGAAACUACUUUAGAAAGUGUAUUUUUUAAAUCGGAAAGUUUUUCACAAUCCCACCACGUGGUAUAAAUUGCUUUCAGAGUGUUUACAUCUCCAACAAUUCUCAGAAUAGUCAGUUUUAAUUUUUUUAUUCUACUUGGAGACAUAUAGCUCCAAUGAAUUAUUUUAAAAUGUUUCAUGUAAGGUUAGACUAUGAAUAGAUUUCUUAGCUUGAAUUAGUGCCUCCAAGUUUCCUGUGAGAAACAUUUUUUCAUAUCUCUUUCCCAUUUAAUUAUAGAUUUUUAGAGGUACACAGUGUUUUGAGAGCUGUGUAGUUCUAGAAAUAAUUUAUUUUUAGUUUUAUUAUUCAUAUAGUUCUCAAACUCAGGAGCUUCUUUUAUUUAAUUAUUUUUUAUUAAAUGGUUAAUCCUAAUAUAAUUAAACAAUUCACCUUUAGGUAAUCCAAAUUGAGAUUUGUAUUCACUAAAGGGUUUUAAAUUCCCUUGUGGAGUGAUUUGAGAUAUUUUAUGAAUAUGACCCUUCAGCAAAUUUGUUAAAUCCAUGUCAUAAGUAUAAUAUUAUAGUACCUCUAUUGGACAGGAGUCGGGUAGUAUGUUUUUGAUCCCCAGCUUAUUUUUAAACAUUUUGAUAGAUUGAAUUAUAUUUUCAACUAUAAUAUUAGAAGUUGUAACCCUCUUAUAUUGUUUGUCACCUAUCCAGAUUAAAUCAUAUAGAGAUGCUUUAAGAUGUGAGAACUCUUCCAUUAUUUUCCAACUUGGGUUGUCAUAUAUAUUUUGUUCCAUUUUAAAGAAUGAGAAAACAUAAUUAUGUAAUGUAAUUAUAUUAAAUCCGGAAAAUUUAUUACAAGAUUAUCUAUUUUCUUAGUUAAAACUUUGUUUGCAAUUCUGGGAAUUUUCUCUUUACACAAAAUUCAAAAUUGCUUUUUUAAAUUGCAAAAAUAAAAAAAGGGUACUCUGAGCGGUAUUGAUCGAAAUAGGUACACUAAUUUUGGUACUACAUAGGCAGAUAUUGUAUUUAAUCGUCCUAUCCAUGUAAUCUGCAAUCCCUUCUAUUUUUGAAAAUUACCUUUAAAUGAUGCAAGUAGUGAUGUACCGAACGAUUCGCUGGCGAACGGUUCCUGGAGAACAUAGCAUGUUCGCGUUCGCCACGGCGGGCGAACAUAUGCGCGGUUCGACCCGCCCCCUAUUCGUCAUCAUUGAGUAAACUUUGACCCUGUACCUCACAGUCAGCAGACACAUUCCAGCCAAUUAGCAGCACACCCUCCCUAGCAGACCCUCCCACCUCCUAGAAGGCAUCCAUUUUAGAUUAAUUCUCAAGCUGCAUGCUUUAGUAAGAGGAGGGAAAGUGUAGCUGCUGUUCAUUAGAUAGGGAAAAGCAUAGCUAGGUUAGGGUUAGGGUAUGCUUUUUAAAAAAAAAAAAUUUCUAUGUAAUGUAAUUGCACUUAGUUGUCUGCCACUGCUGCCAGCUUCUGUGUCAGGCUCACAGUGCAUACUGUGCCCAUUUCCCCAGUCAGUGCCACCAAUUACAUCUGGUGUCACAAUAGCUUGGAUUUAAAAACAAAAAACUUUUUUCACUGUUAUAGAUUGAAUAGCAGUCAGUUGUNNNNNNNNNNNNNNNNNNNNNNNNNNNNNNNNNNNNNNNNNNNNNNNNNNNNNNNNNNNNNNNNNNNNNNNNNNNNNNNNNNNNNNNNNNNNNNNNNNNNGGUGACUGACGUGCUCGUACGUGAAUAUGGAGAGUUUGCCCGUGAAGUCGGUGGGCGAAGUGGUCUAGAUGUGAGGACCAAUUUUUGAGCGUAAGGACGUGUGACGUAGAGUGAACUAUGACCCUGUUUGGGGGUGUUGUGCUUGAUGGCGAGUUCGAUGGCCUUGUCCACUGAGAGAGGAGAUGGUUAGGAAUCGUGAUCGAAUUGAGGCCGUAGUGUAGGCCUUGUGACCUGUUGGCCUGUCGGGUGCAUGUCUGACAGGGUGACUAUAUAAAGGGAAAAAGGCGGAAAACGGGAUACUUACUUCGGUAAGCGAGUUUUUGCAUGAUAGCGUUUUUGUGUGUGUGACUCGUGUGGAAGGGGGUCUGGCCGUCGGCACUCGUGGGUGUGCUUUGCCAGACCCCUUGCUAGACCACUAGAACAGUUUGAUUGUGAUGGAGGGAGGGGGGGGGCUGGAGGCGGCAUUGAUGCUGAAAAAUUGGGGGGGGGGUGGCUGGUGUAUACUGGAGUAACUUCCCUGCCCUUGAUCUGCAAUACUGUUUAUUUAUUUCAAUUCUUUUAACCUUUUUUUUUUUCUCUUGGGGGGGUGCUGGUGAAACUUGCCAAACCUCCCAGCUACCCCCCCCUGCGAGACCGGCAACUACAGGGGUACGUGACCGGAAGAGUGGGGGUGGGGGUGGGGGGGUGCUGGUGAAACUUGCCAAACCUCCCAGCUACCCCCCCCCCCUGUGAGAUUGGUUUCUACAGGGGGCACGUGACCGGAAGAGACGGUUGCGGACUGGCGGGAGCUUAGCGUCGUCUGGUGGCUAGUGGUCCUAGAGGACCCGACUGGCUGAGUGAUGUGGGGUAGGGAGACACUGCGGUCGUGGGGAGGCUGCUGCCUGAGCGUGCUAGGAGUACUUACUCUGUUCAAUGGAGGUGCUGCUGGACCGGAACCGGAAGUGAGUCAGAAACGACCUGGGCCCUGAUUUAGAGGUAGGACUGAGUAUAAAUAGGCCGGUUAACCCCUCCCACAACUACAGGCUCCGCCUUCACAUAUAUAUAUGAGACUGGAUCUCCAGAAGGAUAUUGAUACUUUAGAGAGAGUUCAGAGAAAGGCUACUAAACUGGAUUGCAGGAUAAAACUUACAAGGAAAGGUUAAAGGAUCUUAACAUAUAACAUAUAGGGUAAGAUAUGAGGAAAAAUGAGAGAGGGGGGAUACGAUAGAAACAUUUAAAUACAUAAAGGGAAUCAAAACAGUAAAGGAGGAGACUAUAUUUAAAAGAAAAAAAACUACCACAACAAGAGGACAUAGUCUUAAAUUAGAGGGGCAAAAGUCCCAGACUAACUGAUGAUAUCUGUACAGUUCUGCAAGUCAGCACUGCACAGAGCUAUUCAAACUAAUUGAUAAAACCACAUUUUUUUUCUGGGAUGUAGAUAGCUUUGGGGAGACCCUCCAGGGUCUGAAUAGACCAUGACAGUGUCUCCAAGCUUGUCUUCAGCCAAGUGGGAUCAGGGCUGGGUUUUGCCAGUUGUCAGCACUGAUCUCUCUAUAAUCGGCUGUGAACCAGGCUUUAAUCAGAUUUACACUUAGUGUAAUUCCGAAACAGUAGAUGGUAGCAACACACCACCAUAUAUAAUUUGUUGAAUAGUAAAUCCCAUUUAUAAUAUUAGGAUCAAUAUUAUUAGUGGGUUAACUUUAGGGUUAGGAUUUGGGUUAGUGGUGGUGUUAGUGAAGGGUUAGGAUUCAAUUUAGAGGUAAAAAUAGGAAAGGAUUACACUUGGGUAGUGUUAGGGUAGGGUUAGGGUUAGAAUAGGGUUAGUGUAAGGUAAGGGUUACUUCUAGGUAUGUAUUAAUGAUGCUUUAGGAUUAAAUAUAUUGUAGGGGUGAGGUUAAGGGUAAGAUUAGGUAGGCAUACAGUUAGAGUUAGUGUAAGCAUUAAUGAGAGGUAUAGCAUUCUUUCGGUCCUUUAAAUAAUUUGAUAUACACCUGGAGAGAAGAUGCAGUGGGUAAACAUAGAAAAUAGUAUAAUAUCCAAGGACACAUUAGCUGAACUCCUCUGGACCCCGAAACACUUGAGACCUAAGACGCCCAAUCUACUGCCAAUGACCUUACUUGCCCUGCACAUAUGGGACAUUUUCUGAAACACUAAUAAAGCAACUCAAACACAAUUCCUCCCGCUAGCCAUGGAGACCGUAUAACCAUGGCUAGCCUUACAACUAUAAAAAGAGUGGGGAAUAUGCAUAUCAAAGACCUCUGCUGCCAAACAACUAUAUUACUGUUCCCAGACUUGCAAUUGCAGUAUGACCUUCCCAAUUCCUACAUUUAUCCAUACCUACAACUAAAAAGUAUAAUCUCUGCAAAAGUAAAUAUAGGUGCUUCACUCAAGACCCAAACAAAAUAUUUGCCAGUUCUGUAUUAUAGAUGUUGUCCUAGCCCCACCAAGCCUAAAACCCUCUUCUAUGUUAUAAAGCCUUAUUAGAUAGCAUGCCAACAAAACCCUUCUCAUAUAAGACACAAUGGCAGCAGAGUUUUAAGGUCACUUCAGACUCACAAUGGCUCCAAGUCCUAAAUGCUUUAAAAGGGAUAACCUCUUGCUACUCCCAUAUGGAGGCACAUAAGAAACUAAUGUACUGCUGGUAUUGCACACCCAACCGACUGUGACAGACCGCCUGGCACCCUGACCAGGUGCCUCUGCCAAUCGAUGCUCACUAGUGCUCACUGAGUACUUCCAGCACUCCACCAGACACCAUCAGCACUGUAUUCCCCACGUCCAGUGUUACAGCUUGGCUGGGAACUCGCCAUCCUCCACGCACCCUGGACCCAAAACCAGGAUCCAGCUUCCAGUGGGUGAAACUCUCCUACUCCAGAGAGUGUAGCAGGCUGCUCUUAAAAGAGCAAGUGAUUAUAGCACUCCAAAGACCAAUCCCAUAAGUAGGGAUUAUAGCAGGUAUAGCUGUUCCCUCAAUAAUGAGACAAGGGGGCUGUGUUGAGGGUAAGCACACAACUGGCCUUCUAUGCAAGUCCCCAAGCAAGGGGCACUCCCACCUGGACCUUGUGGGGAACUGCAGCACAAAGUCACAGAUCAAUGACAAAGGUGUUUAAAUACAUGACACUCCCAUAUACAAUCAUACACUCCCUCCACUAUGCCUGGGAGAUAAUUGAGUCAGAUACUGUAGUAACUCACUUAUAUCCAGGCACAAAAAUACACAAGUUUUAUAAAACCCCAAAAGUAUCUCCAAAAACUCAUGGAAACCCCAUAAAGUUAUAGCCCCUGUUAGCCCCGACCUGGGUGAACAACAUAUCCAAAAAUCACCCAGAUCGGUUCAGGGGUUUGGGAUUUCCAUGGAGGUCUUAGUUAGACCGACCGCACAAGAAAUUACUGUCUGAAAAGAGUUCCAUGAAAUCAGGCUGUGCGGUUGGUCUAUUUUGGGGAUACAAAACACAGUGCAAAAUACUGAACGUAGCAGUUCAUGGGUACAGUCAGUUUAUGUCUCUUGUUCGAGAGCUUGCUCCAACCAAACGCCAUUCAAUUCCAAUACGUAUAGCCGAACAUUAAUGGAAGGUAUGUCUUUAGCGGUGUUUGCGCCGUGUCCGAUUUGAGUUCCAUGCACUCAACGACCAAACACGGCUAAAGAUGGCCACCGCCACGUGUUCGUAUGUCGAACAGCAACCACCCAGCCGAUAGCCAAUUAAGUUGCGGUUUCAUGUGUAUCAGGCAGGUUGAACACUCAACUUGCGGGCGGUCCGACUGUUCGGUAGUUUGUUCGAUAUAUGAACACAAACCCCUAAUCUGUUCGGUAAGUUCAGUAUACCAAACCAUAUGAGUCCAAAAGGCACGAACAGUGCCUUUAACCAGAGUUUAUCACAGGGACCAUAGUCACAGGGCAGGAGGCUGUCAAACAGGCUCCUCCAAAAGCCUGUGGUGAGGUUAACCACACCGACAUCAUAAAAUCUAUCCAUCUGUGCGACCGAACUGUUGGAGGUGUUGGGAAACUUAGGGUAAUAUGUUACAAAUUUGGUACAAUUGCCAGACAAUAAAGCCAAUCUGGGAUGAGGUACAGGAAAUAUUACAAGAAUUUAAAAUCCUAAAAGAGUCCAUCAGCCCAUAGGCCUGUUUCUGUUAUAUCCGAUAACCUGUCCAAAACAAGACAAACAAAUAGCAGCUACAGUGAUCUUAGCAGGUAGGAACCUAAUAGCGUUGCAUUGGAAAAAGCAAAACUGCCCUUCGUUGACAAAGCUCCACGCAAAAAAUCCAACAAUAUUAUCUCUUUGAGAAGUUCACCUCAGCAACUCAUAUAAAAGUUAAAAAAUGGGUAUGGAUUCCUCUACAUACAAUAAGCUACAAGGGCAUUUACAUAUUUACACUAUGAAUAAAGACCCAUAUGUGUAGUGGCCAUGUAUAUGGAAUUUGAUCCACAUUGUGUCAGUAGAUGGUUGUAUGAGUUAGAAGUUGGUGUGUGGGUGAGUCUUAAGNNNNNNNNNNNNNNNNNNNNNNNNNNNNNNNNNNNNNNNNNNNNNNNNNNNNNNNNNNNNNNNNNNNNNNNNNNNNNNNNNNNNNNNNNNNNNNNNNNNNUUAUUGUUCCCUUAGUGCUUGCUCAUUGAUUGUUCCACAUAUGCCUAAACCACAUUUAUUUUAUACUAUUGUGAUAAACAUGUUUUUUUUUGCUUAAGCACUUUUAUGAUAUUACUUGCAGCAUUGUUAUUAACACUGUUUAUAAUCUUGGGAACUGACACAUAUAUUAUACAUAACAUUGGAACGCAUAUGCAUUCCAAGGAUGUUUGAACCAAGAGGAUACCUCCUCACAUACAGCUUGAUCAAACCGGAGAUGAUGUAAUUCCGCCGGAAAUAGGAAGAUUUCGAUGCGUUCCAUCAAACGCUUUGCAUUUUCGGCGAAACCGGAAGUGACGGAGACAUUCCGGAAACCGGAAGGAGGCGGUGGAACGCAUAGAUGCGUUCCACUGGAAGAAAAUUACCCGCGAUUUUUAAAUAUUUAAGAACUUAGAGAACAUUACCACCUUAUGCCAACUGAGGAAGCCACAUACCGGCGAAACGCGUUUUGGCAAGUCUACUGGACACUGGGAGGUCUUACCCUUUAUAUUUAUAUCAUUUAUAUUGAUUUUAUAAUUUUUUUGUUAAUAAAUAUUUUUUCCCUGGAAUAUACUCUAUCUCCAUUGCCUGGUAUUGAAAGAAAAAGGAAAAAGAAGCUAUACUCUAACAAGUAUCAUCAAAGAGGUUUGGGGAUCACCCUAUUAAGAUCCAGGUUCUAAUCUAUGGCUCUUCCAUUGUGAGUGCAUUAUAUUUGGUUUUUUCUAUAUAUAUUGUGUAUAAGAAAUAUCUGCACUAUCUUGUACCUCUCUAUCUUUUACAGCAAGAAAGGUAGAAGAGAGGGAAGUACAUUUUAUUAUUAUUGUCACUUGCUCCACCUACUUUUUGUGUAUUAUAGUUAUCGUUUAUUGUUCACUGUGAUCCACAGUCAUCUCAGCCGGCUGGUUGACAAGUCUUCUGUAUAGGGGGGUAUCGUCCGUUCCAGCCUCUGGGUCAGGGGAUCCCUACCCCCCUGUCACCGGUGCCUCUGCUCCCCUCCGGGGGCGACCCCUUCCAUGCCCGGGGUUCUGGGGUGGCACCCACACUACCGCACAACCCCGGGUGGGGCUCUAUAACAUCGCACGAAGCCACCCGCUGCCCUGCUCUGCUCCCCCUAUCCCGGACCCUACCUACCUGAGUCGCUCCCUGCCUUCACAGACCGGGGCGACACAGACGCUCGCGGGACCUGAUAACAUGGCCUCGCACACACCCAAAUACGCACCUGCCCCGAUCAACUUCCUAUCCCUAAACACCAAGGGUCUCAAUUCCCCCGAAAAGAGGUCACACACCCUAUGCCUCUGUCAGAAUGUUAGAGCCCAUGUGGUCUAUUUCCAAGAAAGCCACUUUAAACUUGACUCCGCACCGAAACUCUGUAACCACAUAUAUACCCAGGGAUUUUACAGCCACAACCCAGAUGGGAAAUCCAAGGGGGCAGCAAUAGUCAUGCAUAAAUCCAUACCCUUUGUGGCUGACUUGACCAUGACAGACCACGCAGGCCGAUAUGUGUUCGUCAGGGGUCGAUGAAACCUAUACUUUUGCCAACAUUUACGCUCCACAUAUGCGACAGGACAAAUUCCUGAGGGACGCACUCCGCGCCCUUCACGAGGGCUGUCUGGUUCUAGGGGGGACCUCAAUAUUGCCCUGUACCCGACAGUGGAUGCAUCCAGAGGCCACUCAUCAACACCUCUUCCCACGUUGCUCAAAGUAAGCAAACUCCUCCACCAGUACAGACUUACGGACUGCUGGAGGGUGACACAUCCGACAGACAGGGACUACACUUUCUAUUCGGCCCCAAAUGACUGUUACACACGCAUAGACUUUAUUUUCCUUGCAUACUAUUUCCUACCCAGACUACAGGACUCCGCCAUUGGGGGGACGAUGUGGUUAGACCACGCACCACUCACGAUACAACUAACAUCACCACUAUACAAGCCUAAAACUACUACAUGUCGGCUAAACGAAAAACCUCCUAUCUAACCCGCAGGUGGUCCAAGACGUCCAAUAAACUUGACAAACUACUUCGCCAAGAAUCCACCACAAGACACAUUCCCCUCCUGACAUGAGAGGCUCACAAAUGUGUGAUCCGAGAGAUUCUUAUCUCGCACGAUCCGAGAACACACGAUCCAAGGGAACACACGAUCCGAGAACUAGCCACCAAGAUAGGGAACCUGACACAGGCACACAAACAAACACUGGAUUACACACUCCUAGGGGAACUCACGAAAGCAUGUGAAGAAUUAACACGGGUCCUGCGACAAUCGUACACUAGGGCCCUUCAAUGCACCAGCUAUGCCACAUGCCAGACCAAAUAACCACAGCAGUAAAAUGCUUUUAUACAGACCUAUAUACACACACCCCGAGCUGACCUGAAAUCAGGGGAAUCUCGCAUAAGUUCAUACCUUACUAAAUGCACAAAAGCCAAACUUUCCUCGGACGCAGCGGAAGUCCUGGAGGCACCACUGACUGAGGGGAAACUGGCCCUUGCCAUCAAAACCUCAAAGACGAGCAAAAGCCCAGGCCUGGAAGGCCUCCCUCUCAAAUACUACAAAGCCUUUUCGGCGACCUUGUCCCCCCAAUUUAUCUCGGCCUUCAACUCCAUACCAGAGGGAAAUACAAUCCCUCAGUAGACAUUGGCGGCCAACAUCACCCUGUUACCAAAGGAGGGGGGAGAUGCCGAAUGGUGCACUGGCUACCGGCCCAUCUCGUUGCUUAAUUGCGACCUACGCUUGUUCGCCAAAAUACUAGCAGCGAGGUUGGGUCCGCACAUACCAGACUUGAUCUCCCCUGAUCAGGUAUGAUUCGUCCCACACAGAGAAGCCAGGGACAACACGGUACGAGCCCUGUCCCUGAUACACCAAGCACAAUGCACCUCUGAGGUCCUUCUUCUCCUCUCCACCGAUGCGGAGAAGGCCUUCGACAGGGUAGCGUGGGACUACCUCUUUUCGGUCCUGGAGCACAUUGGCCUGGAGAACUAUAUGCAUCAGUAGAUAGAGUCUCUUUACUCAUCCCCCACGGCUAGGGUGUGCAUGAACGGGGUCGCAUUCCCGGUCAGGAACGGAACCAGGCAAGGCUGCCCCCUAUCACCACUCUUAUUCAUCCUGGCCCUCGAACCCUUCCUACAAGCAGUUAGGGACAACCCAGACAUCACGGGGGUAAUGGUAGGGGCAGACCACCAUAAAAUAGCAGCAUAUGCGGACGAUAUGCUAUUUUUCGUCUCCAACCCAGAAAUCUCCCUCUCAAAUCUCAUGGCAGAAUUUAAGACAUAUGGCCAUAUCACCAACCUCAAGAUCAAUGGCAUUUGGUGCAUUGAAUCAUGUAUACCACAUUGCUGGAUGUACAGGAGUAUGAACCUUAUAAACUAUCUGACUGGCUUUAUUGUUGUGGGUGGAUGUGUUGUCUGUGCAUAUGUGCUGACACAGUUUGCAGCAAAGUUUUUUGCAUUGACUAGUUGUGUUUUCUUUAUUCUUCCCAUCAGUGGGUAGCUUCCUGUAGAUUGAUUUUUGUUAGAGGUUUGGUGGUUGUCUGAAGGCCACAGUGGUUGUUUCAGAGAAAAUGUUUUUCAGAGUCUCAUCUUCUGUUAAAAUUGGUUGUAGGUCUUUAAUAAUUUUCUGUAUUUCCUCAAGAGCUGGGUUGAAGGUGACCACAAGUGACACUGGUGUAGAUAUUUUUUUCUCUCUGUACUGUAGCAGGCUCGUGCGUUGAGUUUUUACAGCAGAGUUGAUUUGUUUGGUAAUAGUCUUUAAUUUGUAGCCUUUCUGUCUCAUAGAAUGGCUAGUACAUUUAGAAGGAAAUUAUGAUCAUUAGGAUAUGUUUCCUAGUGUCCUAUAUUUAUAUCAAAUGGUUGUACUAACACAACAAUUGUUGAGCCAAUCAGAGGAAUGUACCAGUCCAUUAUGUUGGCGCCAAAAAAGAGAGAGAGUGGGCUUGUUAAUUCAUCAAAUUCAAACCCACCAAUCAGAGCUAGUUUGUGGUAAUUAAAUCCGUAACAAAACUAAUAAAACAUAUCAUUAUCUAUUACUAUAGGGGGACUAGCUAAAUCAACUAAAUAGUAAAAGUGUUAGAAGUAAGUAUAUGUUUGAUCGAAAUAACCAAUUUAUUGUGCUUGAUUAACAUAUGCCAUACCCCUUGGGAUUUUAAAAAGAAGGGGAAUUAACCAAAAGAUAAGGGGAGGACACUAAACUAGGUAAACGAAUUAUGAUCGUAUUGAAAAAAUGUCCUAUGGACUAAGAUGAUGAAGAUUAUAAAGAAUUACAGAAGGUCAUACUUUCUCCUUCAAAGAUCGGUGUAAGGACAUUCUCAAAUUUUGGCAGGGACAUUAUUAAUGAUGGAAAUAACGCUAUCCUAAUUCUCUUAUUUCUAUCAUUAAAUGGUUUGAUAGUUCUAUUUUAAUCACGGAUCUCGGCAGACUCUAAACUCAAAGAUUCAUAUUGUAUAAAAAAUAAUAAUAAUAAUAAAUAACUUAUAUCCUAGAUAGUGCUCUUUUGUAUAAACAUCCCUGAUGAGAUGGAAAAUAUUUGCAAAUAUAUGUAAAUGCAAUUUGAGUGAAGCCUGAGAAAGAUGAACCCAUAGCUAAAUCUAUAGUUGGGAUAUAAUAUAUUCAUAGUUUACUCUCUAUAGAGAUAACCAUGGUCAGCUAUGUGGGUGGAGAGGUCUAGUGAAUUGUCUCGCUCCAUUAUUUAUUAUUAACAUAUUUAUCGUUAUAACCAAAAACCAAGGCGCAGAGGGGCACAAUCUACGGGGAAGACCAACAAGCAACGGCACCCGGCCUGAAACACGAAGCGGGUGGGCCUUGGAAAACCCGACCAGCCCCCAAAACACAGAAAUCGGGAGAGAAGAGUGAUAGCCGUAGAGCCACAACCAGUCCAGAGUCACCCAAAGCCUGUUACUGCCCUUUGGGGCCGAGAGCUCGACAUGCAGGAGCACCAGGAGGUUUGCGCCCAAAGAGAAUGGCUAUUGCCAUUAAGCAACCGCGACUCAAGCGAAGGCCCUCUCAUGCAAUUCACAGCAGAGCCGCAGGGGCCGCUGUGCACCUCAUCGACCAGAGUGCUCGGUUGCGACACCCCACAGGCCUAAACGGACUACCCACAGGCCUCAACCGCGCACCGAAUGGUCGACUCUCACCCGGCAGGAAGAUCUACAUAACGCUACUCUGGGGGACAACAGUAUACCAACAGGGGGCGUGGGCUAAGUGACUCUCGAGGUGGCCCAGCACAGUUGACUUUGCCAGUGUCUUCUUGUUUAUGGUUCUGCCUAUUGGAUAUCCCUAGAAAGCCUUGGGGCUGCACCCGACUACACUGCACCUGUCACCCGACGGAACACUGGCAGCUCGGUAUGAACUGUCUUCAUAUGGAAGCUUACAGCCCAGCUGGGUAUAGGUUGAAUGACUGUGCUGGCAUGCCAAGCUUGCUACCAUGACAGAUCACUUUUUUUUAGAUAGUGAUGCAUGGCAGUGUUGCCCACUUAUCUUUGCCACCAGUUGAAGUUUAAAAGUUUUUGCCUGCUCUGGCUUUUUCUCUCUUCUCACUACUUACUCUCACAUUCCUCUCACACUAAUUUAGCUGUGCAUUAGAUCUUCCAUGCCGUGAUACACUCGUGCUAGCCUACCACUAAAACUCUGUUUUAUGCAUUGCAUUUGUUCCCAUGAUAAAUAUUGAUUUAUAUACAGCAGUGAGUUGUUAGACUCACAUGUAUAGCCAUGCCUAUAACUAUAAUUCUAGGCGAACAUAGCCUGUAAACCAAUCUGACGCACAUACCCUAGCAACUAGUACUAUUAUCCUGUUAAUUUCUCAUAAAAAAAAAUGUGCUGUUCAUUCUUGCCAUGACAUUGUUUGCCUUCAAUGCCUGUGCUCGCUGUUGUGGCGCUACAGGUCUUUAUGUUAUAUAAUAUUAUGCACAUGAAAAAAAAAGAAUAAAAAAAAAAAAGGAAAGAAAGAUAUUUAUGACCCUCUUUGCAAGAAUGGUGUCUAUGUUCUAUCAAACCUGUCUUAUCUGCACUCAACCGUGUAUGUAUGUGUAUGUAUGUAUGUAUAUGUGUAUAUAUAUAUAUUUGUAGUCGGGGAUAUAAAGCCGUAAGUGUAGUCGUAGGUGAAGACUGAUAGUUGGUUGUGGUGUGCCUGAACCAACGAUCGGGUAGGCCUGAAAUAAUGAGGGCCCACCUAAAUAGUACUUGUUAAAAGGGUGUUGGUGGCUGGGGAGUCAGAAACGACCUGGGCCCUGAUUUAGAGGUAGGACUGAGUAUAAAUAGGCCGGUUAACCCCUCCCACAACUACAGGCUCCGCCUUCACAUUUGUAGUCGGGGAUAUAAAGCCGUAAGUGUAGUCGUAGGUGAAGACUGAUAGUUGGUUGUGGUGUGCCUGAACCAACGAUUGGGUAGGCCUGAAAUAAUGAGAGCAAAAAGGUUUCAAACAAAACACUUUAAUGAGCAAUUCUUUUAAAGCUUUCCUCAGUUCUUUCUCUGGCUGUGGAAUGUAUUUACCGUAAGCUGCUGAUUUCCACCUACCUAGUUUUUUAAUAAUGUGUGCGGGUACGUUAUUGCUGGAAGCGGCUGAACCGAUCCUAAAUGAAUGUCCUGAGAUGGACAUGGGGUCGUGUCCUAAUCUGACCGCCAAGGCCCUUACGUAGUGUAUAAAUUUAGCCGUGGUCAGAGGUUUGUCGGCAAUAGUGAGUAGGGGUGAGUAGCUUUGUUUGUCUGUGAGGUAAAGGCAGAAAGUAUCCAGGAUUGUCACCGGGCACCAUUUGUUAUGGGUCGGGAAGUACUGGAUUUCCGUAGGCGGUCCUACCAGAUUUGUUUUUGUACGUCUUAGGCGCAGUAUGUAAUGGUCCCCUAAUUUUUGCAGGUCCCUAAUUCUGACGUAACUUGUGUUGACUGAUAGAUUAUGUACCGUGAAUUCAUUGGGCCGUAAGAACCCGUAAAACGCUAUGUACAUAGCCGUCUUGAGUACGCUGUUAGUGCUAGGUUCGAAUGGGUUGGAAUCUAAUAGAUCUGAUAGAUCCUUGAAUUUAGUGCCGUCAAUUGGCUGUCUUUUGGCUGUUGGAGGGCCGUCAGUGCGGAGUAUUCCUUUAAGGACGUUUUUUAAGAGAUAGGAUGACAUGAAAGGUUUGUGAUCGGGGAAUAUGGUGAGUAAGUGGUGCUGAAUGCCCGUGAGGUAGAGUUUUAUGGUGUUAUGGGCAAGCUUGAGGUGUAGGUGGCAGUGCGCGGUAUAAGCAACAAUCGUGUCUAUGGAGAAGGUGUUGGUGAUAUGGUGUUCGGAAGUGAACCUGGAGAAAAUAGUAAGAACUCUGUCAUAGGACUUCUUGGUGUUAUCUGAUAGAGCAGCUUUAGCCAACGUUAGUGCAUGUUGUUUCAGGUUUAUCAGUCCAUUAUGAGGUCCUGAAAUACGGGGGUCGGCACAGGUAUGGCUACCGCCGUGGGAUGCUGUUCGAAAAAGGCCUGAAAGUUGGAACGAGAGAGAGCGUCAGCUGCAAUGUUUUCACGACCUGGUAUGUGCAUGCAAACCAAGUGGAAGUUGUGAGUUGCUGCCAGCCAUGUGAGUCUCCUCAUGAGUCUCAUGAUGACUAGGGAUGCGGAUCUGCCCUUGUUAAUGAUUUCACAUGUGGCUUCGUUGUCGGAGAGACAUUUGACUGCUUUGCCCUCCCACAACGGACCCCAAGUGUGUGCAGCUGCCACUAUUGGGUAAAGUUCGAAAAGUGAGGAUGUGGUGUUAAACGCCUGUAGUGUUGAUGUUUCAGAUGGCCAUGAACCCCGGAACCACUGGUCGUUGUAUAUGGCUGCAAAUCCUGUGUGGGCUGCUGAAUCGGUCCAUACGACCGGGGAAUCUACGUCAAGUGGGGGUAUGAACAUUGACCUCCCAUUCCAGGAGGAGAGAAAUGUGCCCCACAUGCGUAAGUCUGCUUUGGCGUUAACAUCGAUGAGUAUGUGGGUAUUGUCAUGGGGGGUCUCCGUUAGGAGGUGAAGUAGGCGUGAAAUGAACGACCGACCUUGCGGUAUGAUGCGGACCGCAAAGUUAAGUGAGCCCAAGAGUGACUGUAGCUCUUUGCGAGAGCAAACGUUUUUCUGCAUGAACCAUGAGAUUUCGUUAGUUAUGCGUGUUACCUUCUCAUCUCGGAGACUCGCUACCAUGGAUAUGGAAUCUAGAUGGAUGCCUAAGAAGGUCAGGGCUGUAGAAGGACCUAUUGUUUUUUCUACUGAAAGAGGGACCCCCAGUGUGGAGAAAAGAGCAGCCGUUUUGUCUAAGCUGUGGGGAGUGCGGUUAGGUUCCUCAACUGUGAGGAAGUCGUCCAGGUAGUGUAUUGCUACCGGGCAGCCACACACAUUUAGUAAUAACCAGCAAAGUGUUUCGGCGAAUGUGUCGAACAGUUUGGGACUGCUUUUGGCCCCAAACGUCAAAUGCGUGGCGAAGUAGUACUGGCCCUCCCAUGCCACAGGGAUGGGUGUAUGGGUAGCAAUUUGAAAGCGUUAGUGAUUUCGUUUUUUCCUAACCAGGCGCCUUUACCUGCUUUCAAGAUUGCCCCCAUUGCGUUAUCCACUGUGGCAUAUUGGAGUGAAAAUUCGCUAGAUGGAAUCAAUGAAUAAAUGCCAGGAACCACGGAUGAAUGAGGCGCUGAUAGGUCAAUAAGCAUGCGUUUUUUAUUAUUGAAUUUUUCAGUAGCAGUGCCAAUUGGGUUAGUUCUGAAACUGGCAUAUGGGGGGUGUGUGAAUGGGCCUAUCAUGAACCCAUGGUUGAUCUCUGCUGUAAGUAGUGCGUUCGAAGUGACGGGGUCUUGUAAGGCUGAUUGUAGGUUCCUACAUUCUAGGGUGCCUCCUGGUAUUGCCACUAGCCCUGUGUGGAAUCCUACCGUGAAGCCUGUUGUGAGGAACUCGACCACGUGAGGGGAGGGGUGAUUGGAAAGAUAAUAGGUGAGGUUGCCAACAUUAAUCUCCGUGAGUCAUUGUCUAGGGAACAGCCGAUUAGGGCACAUGGUCUUUGCGUGUGCCCUAAAGCAAAGGGAACAGACGUGCAACAAACAACAAGCGCUGAAGCUACAGCCCCCCGCAUUGAAGUUAUUGCAUACCUGUGCUUUGCCGAGGAAUACGAUGGGCCUGCCCAGUUUGUCUUUGAUGACCCUAUCUGAUUUGGGGGUGGGCUCUGUUUGGCUUGUGGAGGGUUGGCUCAGUUCGGAGGGACACAGAUUGGUGGAAUGUGCAGUGGACAUGCAAAUGGCACAGGACGGAGGCUUGAGGCCGGCGAAGUGGCGGCAGAACAGUUCCGUAUCCAGUUGGCUCCAGUCUGAGCGUAUGUUAAACUGGACCAGUGCUGCCGCCACCUUCGCCGAAAAUGACCUAUGAUAAUCAUAGAAAGAGUAGCCUCCGUACUUGUUGCCUAAGUCCACCAAUUUGUGGAGGUACAGGUCCAGCUCCUCUCUGCGUUGAGGGAAGACGGAACAAAUGAUAUCCCUGUACAAUCCAAAAGCAAUUACAAAAUCGGGGAUGGCCAGUUUCUUGUUAAGCCUGGGGUCCCUAGCCUUGAGUACUACAGAAACUUCCCCAUAGCAGUAAGCCUUGUUUUCUACCAAGUCUUGGGAUGCUAUGAGGAGUGAAACCAGGUUGACGUCUUUCCCCUCUAGGAUGUCUUUUUUAAUGGCUUGGGGCACUAAGUGGGCAGGCGUGAUGAUGUGUGUGGAGGCAGGUGCUGGGCCGGAAAAAGUGCUGUUACCCGGGUUAGGCAGUGACUGUGGCAGCAUGGUGGGAGCAUUUGCUGGGUUGAUCAAGGCCACUUGGUUCUCAAGUUUCUCCAGUCUCUCAUUGAUCAGAUUAACUGAAGAGAGAAGAGUGGACAUGGUGGCCUGAAGUCCAGGCGUGCUCCCGUCGAUAGCCUGUGUACUGGUGCCUGGUCGCGGGGUGUUGGGGUUAUUGUUCAGGAGGCGGUACAGUUCCGCUUUGCGGGCCGUGGCCGGGUAUGGUAUGCCUCGUCUUCUGAGCUCAGCUGCGAUCUUGGGUACGGUCCAGGAGCGUAGGGACGCUGGACUAGCCGUCUCUACCAGCUCCACUGGGGUACUUGGUCUGGUAGGGCUAGCGACCCUGGCUGGGGUGCUGGGUAGGGAGACAUCCUCGGCUAUGUCCGAAACGUGUGACAUUCUAUAACGUGAGUAAGUACAUAAAUUAGGGGAUGAUGGUUCGAAUAGGGUGAAUAUUAUAAUAGGAAUAAUUUAUCUCUUUAUGUAGGGAGUGAACUGCCUUGUAACGGGGGGAGGGNNNNNNNNNNNNNNNNNNNNNNNNNNNNNNNNNNNNNNNNNNNNNNNNNNNNNNNNNNNNNNNNNNNNNNNNNNNNNNNNNNNNNNNNNNNNNNNNNNNNUGCCAGAUAAAAAAUAUUUUUUUUUUGUUAGUGGGGGCUUUGAAGGAGGCACAACAUAUGGACUUGUCCCAAUGCACCACAUUAUCUUUCUACACUCCACAGCAUGAUUAUUGUUCUUUUAGGGUUGUGAUUGGAUAAAACAUCACCAGGUGAAGUUAGACCUCUUUAAAAUGGACGGGUCAGAACUAACAUUAAAGAAAGAAAGCAAAUGUAUACAUAGGAUUUCAGCAUAAUGAACAUAUGCCAAAUGCAAUGGUGCCAUUUAAUUUCCUUAUUCUAUCAAAUAGAAGUCAAUAAAUAAAUGAUCUUUGCUCUGGCUUCUAAUCAUAAUGCUUAGACUCUCUAAUCAUAUUACAAAGUAUUUAGUAUGAGAUGAAGGAACAGUAAUAUUUUUUUUCAUUUCAUUAUUUCUUUUAUGUACAUCCAUGAAGAUCUUGACACCAUCAAACAGGAAAGAAGGAUGGGGCUAGAUCACCUUAAGAAUAUCAUAAUACUUUCCAUUGGAUUUCUCCUUCUGGCUACCGCAUACGGAGGACUGCAAACUUUACAG
rnacentral:lncRNA from 1 species